UUCAGUUAUAUUUUAGUAGACUGGGCCCGGUUUAUACAUCUUGGCGUCCACAUGUAUUAGGUAGGGCUCUUCCUCCUCCUUGCGUCAGAUUCUUCGCCGACGAGACCAGUCAGAGUAAACACGACGCCCUUUGCUAACUGUAACGUCUUGAAAAUCCUUAAAUCCGUCAUUUAUUUUGGGGUUUCCCUUCAUUACUCCACAACUCAUACAUUAAGAUUCGAGCUGUCUCUUCGUUUCCACUGUAACCUUCCGAUUCUACACCGUCACCAAACUCUCUUGGGCUUUCUACUCACCCAAUCUAUAUAAACAGAUGGUUCAUAGCUCUCCUCCUUCCACCGUAAGCAGAACUUUACGCAACAAUGGCCAGCAACAGUUCCAUUAAUUUAGUGUAUCUCUUCGAGAUUCUUUUUUGUCGGAAGCUUGAAAGAGAUCUCAAAUGUCGGCAGCCUUUGCGAUUAUCGAGCACCAACGUUCAGAAGAUUAUGACCCAAUCUGCACCUAAAACUUGAUUUUUCUUCAAAGUGGAAGCUUUAGAACCACUGAUUCUAGGUUGGCAGUGCGUGUUCUGAUUCGUGUUCUGGUCAUUUCGACAGAUUUGGCUAUUUGAGCAGAAAUUAGGCCUAAAGGAAGAAUUAAUGUAAGGCAUCAUAUUUUCUUCUGCGCUAGACAUUUUCUAGCUACAAAUCUGUUGGUAACAGAGGGACAUAAGUAUGAACUAUGUAAUUCUUGACUUAGUUGUCUUGGAAAAUCGAGUUUGAAUACAUCAACACUAUGACUAACUCUUUAUUUCAGUUUUUAGAAAAGAAUGGGUCAGUUACUCAAUUUCAUUGUCCUACGGUAGGACUCCUACCUUGCCAGGUCUGUCAAAAGUUUAAGGAUUGAUUGUUUCUGUUAUCUGUUUUUAUGUAUUCUUUAUACAUUGUAUGUUGACGUUUGAAUCUAGAGGGAAUAUUGAUCCUUCCGCAUACAAAGAUUCUUUGCUAUACUAAGUCUAAUCUGACUUUUGUUGGUUCCAUAAUAUUGAAGUUACUUUUCAUGUAUUUUUCCAGGCAUCACAGUUAAUAGGAUUACAGCUUCUUGAGACCUCUGGGAAAAUUAAAAGUUAAUAGAUCUGUUUAAAAAUGUUUGGAUGGUUGUGAUUGUUGUUUUGAUAAGCGAAAUUACCCAGAUUACAGAAGACGAAACCAACAAGAUGUUACUCACCAAGAAACUCUUUGAGAGCACACUUAUCCAUUUUUCUGAACAAGUAUGAUCUCUUGGCAGAAAAAGACGAACGAGUUCUCGAGUGAUGCUGCGAGUGAUUCCAAAAUUUCUGUUAUGUGGUUAGUCGUCACGGUUCCAAAAGCUGUACACCCACUUUGGUUGCUUGCAUUCCGUAACUUCCGUUACAUGGAAGUUAAGUGGGAUUACUCUAUCUUUACCAGGGAAAAUGGUUGUUUCUUUGAGCAAGAUUUGGACCCCAACCAUGUUGAAUCCUAUCUCAAGGUUGAUUCAUAUCUCAAGUUAUGUAAAUCAAUUUGUCGAACCAAUCCAUCCUACUUUCGAUUAUGUAAAUCAUAUUAAUGAUAAUAUAAGUUUUCACAA